rnacentral:tRNA from 1 species
UGUGGCUCAGUGGCAGAGCAUUUGCCUAUGACGCAAGAGGCCCUGGGUUCAAUCCCAAGCA